CCUACGGGUGGCAGCAGUGAGGAAUAUUGGUCAAUGGACGAGAGUCUGAACCAGCCAAGUAGCGUGAAGGAUGACUGCCCUAUGGGUUGUAAACUUCUUUUAUAUGGGAAUAAAACGUUCCAAGUGUGGGAUUUUGUAUGUACCAUAUGAAUAAGGAUCGGCUAACUCCGUGCCAGCAGCCGCGGUAAUACGGAGGAUCCGAGCGUUAUCCGGAUUUAUUGGGUUUAAAGGGAGCGUAGGUGGAUUGUUAAGUCAGUUGUGAAAGUUUGCGGCUCAACCGUAAAAUUGCAGUUGAAACUGGCAGUCUUGAGUACAGUAGAGGUGGGCGGAAUUCGUGGUGUAGCGGUGAAAUGCGUAGAUAUCACGAAGAACUCCGAUUGCGAAGGCAGUUCACUGGACUGUAACUGACACUGAGGCUCGAAAGUGUGGGUAUCAAACAGGAUUAGAUACCCCGGUAGUC
rnacentral:rRNA from 1 species